rnacentral:rRNA from 1 species
AGAGUUUGAUCCUGGCUCAGGAUGAACGCUAGCUACAGGCUUAACACAUGCAAGUCGAGGGGCAGCAUGAACUUAGCUUGCUAAGUUUGAUGGCGACCGGCGCACGGGUGAGUAACACGUAUCCAACCUGCCGAUGACUCGGGGAUAGCCUUUCGAAAGAAAGAUUAAUACCCGAUGGUAUAAUCAGACCGCAUGGUCUUGUUAUUAAAGAAUUUCGGUUAUCGAUGGGGAUGCGUUCCAUUAGGCAGUUGGUGAGGUAACGGCUCACCAAACCUUCGAUGGAUAGGGGUUCUGAGAGGAAGGUCCCCCACAUUGGAACUGAGACACGGUCCAAACUCCUACGGGAGGCAGCAGUGAGGAAUAUUGGUCAAUGGACGAGAGUCUGAACCAGCCAAGUAGCGUGAAGGAUGACUGCCCUAUGGGUUGUAAACUUCUUUUAUAUGGGAAUAAAGUUUUCCACGUGUGGAAUUUUGUAUGUACCAUAUGAAUAAGGAUCGGCUAACUCCGUGCCAGCAGCCGCGGUAAUACGGAGGAUCCGAGCGUUAUCCGGAUUUAUUGGGUUUAAAGGGAGCGUAGGCGGACGCUUAAGUCAGUUGUGAAAGUUUGCGGCUCAACCGUAAAAUUGCAGUUGAUACUGGGUGUCUUGAGUACAGUAGAGGCAGGCGGAAUUCGUGGUGUAGCGGUGAAAUGCUUAGAUAUCACGAAGAACUCCGAUUGCGAAGGCAGCUUGCUGGACUGUAACUGACGCUGAUGCUCGAAAGUGUGGGUAUCAAACAGGAUUAGAUACCCUGGUAGUCCACACAGUAAACGAUGAAUACUCGCUGUUUGCGAUAUACAGUAAGCGGCCAAGCGAAAGCGUUAAGUAUUCCACCUGGGGAGUACGCCGGCAACGGUGAAACUCAAAGGAAUUGACGGGGGCCCGCACAAGCGGAGGAACAUGUGGUUUAAUUCGAUGAUACGCGAGGAACCUUACCCGGGCUUAAAUUGCAACAGAAUAUAUUGGAAACAGUAUAGCCGUAAGGCUGUUGUGAAGGUGCUGCAUGGUUGUCGUCAGCUCGUGCCGUGAGGUGUCGGCUUAAGUGCCAUAACGAGCGCAACCCUUAUCUUUAGUUACUAACAGGUCAUGCUGAGGACUCUAGAGAGACUGCCGUCGUAAGAUGUGAGGAAGGUGGGGAUGACGUCAAAUCAGCACGGCCCUUACGUCCGGGGCUACACACGUGUUACAAUGGGGGGUACAGAAGGCAGCUACACGGCGACGUGAUGCUAAUCCCUAAAGCCUCUCUCAGUUCGGAUUGGAGUCUGCAACCCGACUCCAUGAAGCUGGAUUCGCUAGUAAUCGCGCAUCAGCCACGGCGCGGUGAAUACGUUCCCGGGCCUUGUACACACCGCCCGUCAAGCCAUGAAAGCCGGGGGUACCUGAAGUGCGUAACCGCAAGGAGCGCCCUAGGGUAAAACUGGUGAUUGGGGCUAAGUCGUAACAAGGUAGCCGUACCGGAAGGUGCGGCUG